GACGAACGCUGGCGGCGUGCUUAACACAUGCAAGUCGAACGGAAAGGCCCUGCUUUUGUGGGGUGCUCGAGUGGCGAACGGGUGAGUAACACGUGAGUAACCUGCCCUUGACUUUGGGAUAACUUCAGGAAACUGGGGCUAAUACCGGAUAGGAGCUCCUGCUGCAUGGUGGGGGUUGGAAAGUUUCGGCGGUUGGGGCUGUACUCGCUGCUUAUCAGCUUGUUGGUGGGGUAGUGGCUUACCAAGCCUUUGACGGGUAGCCGGCCUGGGAGGGGUACCGGCGUCCUGGGGACUGCGGUACGCACCAGACUCCAACGGGAGGCAGCGGGGGGGAGCAUUACGGAACGGCGGGACGCCUGAGACGGCGGUGCUCCGAGCGGGAUGACGGCCUUUGGGUUGAAAACCGAUGUCGAAUGUGACGAACAGUGAGUGACGGUAAUGAGUAAAGAAGCACCGGCUAACUACGUG
rnacentral:rRNA from 1 species